GGAGGAGCCGCGGUGGCAGCCGCUCGUUUCUGCCACGUCCCUCCCGGGCGAAGGCGAGCCUGGCGGGCAGCGGCCGGGAAGCGCCACGGCACGUGCGCGCCGAUGCCAAUGGGAGAAGGAUUGUUUAAUACAACGUGUGUUGGUGUGUGAAGACUGCCUUGCUGCCUGACGAUUAGAAGAAGGCCAUUUAAACGAGGGGACAGGUAGCAAGCAAGAACAAGUGUUCAAAACUACAGUGGGAUUUGUUUUUAAGUGUGCUUGUGAAGACGUUGGCAAAAUUUUGAUCAAAAGGCUGUGAGAGAGCAUGAAUGUCUGUUUGUUUGUGGCGUGAGUCAGUGUUUUGGACAAAGCAAGGUUUUAGAAACAGAACUAUAGAAACAGAACCUCCAGCCAAAGGUUUUUACACCGGACCCAAUCCGACGCCAAAAAGAGACGAGGUCGACCGGAAGAAGCAUCUCUUGGCUGCCCCUUUGACCCUUCUUUGGUUAGAUUUCCUUGGCAAGAGGCCCAGGAAAGAA